GAUGAACGCUGGCGGCGUGCCUAAUACAUGCAAGUCGAGCGAACAGAUGAGGAGCUUGCUCCUCUGACGUUAGCGGCGGACGGGUGAGUAACACGUGGAUAACCUACCUAUAAGACUGGGAUAACUUCGGGAAACCGGAGCUAAUACCGGAUAAUAUAUUGAACAGCAUGGUUCAAUAGUGAAAGACGGUUUUGCUGUCACUUAUAGAUGGAUCUGCGCCGCAUUAGCUAGUUGGUAAGGUAACGGCUUACCAAGGCAACGAUGCGUAGCCGACCUGAGAGGGUGAUCGGCCACACUGGAACUGAGACACGGUCCAGACUCCUACGGGAGGCAGCAGUAGGGAAUCUUCCGCAAUGGGCGAAAGCCUGACGGAGCAACGCCGCGUGAGUGAUGAAGGUCUUCGGAUCGUAAAACUCUGUUAUUAGGGAAGAACAAAUGUGUAAGUAACUAUGCACGUCUUGACGGUACCUAAUCAGAAAGCCACGGCUAACUACGUG
rnacentral:rRNA from 1 species